AGAAUAGACACUUCAAGAUUGUCCAUAGCCAGCUUUGCCUGAUACAAUAGAAAGCAGUAAAUAUUAAAAGAUAUAUGAAGUACCUCCAGAAUUCAGGAGAAAAGCUUCAAACUUGAUUUAUUGAGAUAUUAUAAGCAAGGAAAGCUAGGAUUUGAGAUAUGAAGUGUAAAGAAGCAAACAUGAUAUAUUGAAUAAGAGGAUACUCGAAAAUGGUCAAGCCAAAACAGCAUUGCUCAGCUUGACUCUACCAGAACAGCACCUCACAAACAGAACUCAAUACACCAAUAUUUCAACCCAGAUCUUGUGUUAAAACCUAAAUCACAAUAAACACAUGUAUCAAGAAACACUUGCAUCGGAUAUCUUAAUUUAUAAACUGGAAAAUUUCCAAAAAAAAAGCUAAUACAUUAUGACUGUUUAAUUAUUACCUUCUCCAAAAAGUAAAUAAGUAAAGAAAAAAAUUUAGUUCAUCAAGUAUACCAAAUUAUCUUUAUAAGUACAACAUUAAAUCAAUGUAGUUUUGAAAAAAAUGAUCAAACUAAGAAGCUACAUAGUUUGUAGUGAUUGACCAUGUUUUUUGUACACGGUCCAUGGGAAAAGGGCUUGCUGAAUUGAGCUACCCAACAAUGAAACCUUUAGGAAAAGGAAAAAAAAACAUAUCUUGUUCUCUUCGGCAGCAAAAUGCAAAUCUGAAUACAAUAUUUGGUAGCAUAAUCCUUGAAAAGAUAACAAAUACCCUGAUAGGCAUAACGAGUUAGACAUCCCAUGCAGCACUGUUGAUACAAAAUUAGGUUAAAAGUUAAGAAUUUACUAGAGAAAGCCCUAGGAUUAUCCUCGCAGAUCUUCUUAGUUCAUUAAGAGGUCCGUUAAAGAUACCUAUUGAAAAUCAAGUUUCAUAUACACAACAAUUUCCUCAUUCCCACAAGCAAGAAAAGGGAAAAUGUAAUUUCCCAUUGGGAAAUCCCCCAUGAGCACAUCCCACUGUCCACACUAACGCAACAAUAUGAGCACAAUCAAUGAAAGCAUAUAAUGCCAUUUCUGUAGCAGGACAUAUUUCAAAAUUUAAAAGUAAACGGUGUAUAUAAUAUUCCAAAUAGAUAUUUGAUUUCAAAACAACAUAUGGGACUUCCCCAUUUUCAAGAACUAACAACUAAGCAACAAUUGCGAGUAAGGAAAUUAAGACUUGGAAAGUCGUUAAAACUCGUGAAAAAUCACAAGGUAUAGAAGAUUUAAGUUUUUUACCCAACUGCAGCUGAGCUAUCUAUGUAACCGGAUGAGUGGAUGAUGAUCUCCUAAAGAUUUCCUCAAACACAGUGCGUGCAUCACAGCAUCAACUAAUUUGCGCCAACCCUCACCACAUACUCAAUUCCAUUGAAACCUUGCGAGUUCCGUUUGAUAAUUUCUACUACCAGUAAAUUUCACAAAUAAUAAAUGCAUGGAUGUAAAUAUAUGUAAUAAUGAACAGAGCGAACACCUUUUUUUCUCCACAGCCUC
rnacentral:lncRNA from 1 species